rnacentral:rRNA from 1 species
GACGAACGCUGGCGGCGUGCCUAAUACAUGCAAGUAGAACGCUGAAGAGAUGAGCUUGCUCUUCUUGGAUGAGUGGCGAACGGGUGAGUAACGCGUAGGUAACCUGCCUUGUAGCGGUGGAGAACUAUGGGAAACGAUAGCUAAUACCGCAUAACAAUGGAUGACACAUGUCAUUUAUUUGAAAGGGGCAAUUGCUGCACUACAAGAUGGACCUGCGUUUUAUUAGCUAGUAGGUGAGGUAAUGGCUCACCAAGGCGACGAUACAUAGCCGACCUGAGAGGAUGAUCGGCCACACUGGGACUGAGACACGGCCCAGACUCCUACGGGAGGCAGCAGUAGGGAAUAUUCGGCAAUGGGGGCAACCCUGAUCCAGCCACGCCGCGUGGGUGAAGAAGGUUUUCGGGUCGUAAAGCCCUUUUGUUAGGAAAGAACGGGUGCGGGAGUGGAACGUUCUCUUCUUACCGUAAGCUUACAAGAAGGGCCCGGCUACCUCCGU